ACACACGCUACAAUGGCCAACGACAAUAGGUUGCUAAGCCGCGAGGUGGCGCCAAUACCAUAAAGUUGGUCUCAGUUCAGAUUGUAGGCUGCAACCCGCCUGCAUGAAGAUGGAGUUGCUAGUAACCGCAGGUCAGCUAUACUGCGGUGAAUACGUUCCCGGGGCUU
rnacentral:rRNA from 1 species